rnacentral:rRNA from 1 species
CAGACUGCAGGCUGCAACCCGCCUGCAUGAAGUCGGAAUUGCUAGUAAUCGCGGAUCAGCAUGCCGCGGUGAAUACGUUCCCGGGCCUUGUACACAUCGCCCGUCACACCAUGAGAGCCGGGGGGACCCGAAGUCCGUAGCCUAACCGCAAGGGGGGCGCGGCCGAAGGUAAAACUGGUGAUUGGGGUGAAGUCGUAACAAGGUAAC